UACGUAGGGCGCAAGCGUUAUCCGGAAUUAUUGGGCGUAAAGAGCUCGUAGGCGGUUUGUCGCGUCUGCCGUGAAAGUCCGGGGCUCAACUCCGGAUCUGCGGUGGGUACGGGCAGACUAGAGUGAUGUAGGGGAGACUGGAAUUCCUGGUGUAGCGGUGAAAUGCGUAGAUAUCUGGAGGAACACCGGUGGCGAAGGCGGCAUCCUGGACCGGCAUUGACGCUGAGGCGCGAAAGCUAGGGGAGCAAACAGGGG
rnacentral:rRNA from 1 species